rnacentral:rRNA from 1 species
UACGGGGAGGGCGUGUGUUAUUCAGCGUUACUGGGCGUAAAGGGCAUCUAGGCUGUUUAAUAAGUUCUUUGUAAAAGCUUAUGGCUUAACCGUAAAAGAUAUAAAGAAUACUGUUGAACUUGAGUAUAGAGGAAGAUAGCGAUACUUUUAAAGGAGAGGUAGAAUGCUGCGAUAAUAAAAAGGGUCAUCAACUAGCGAAGGCGGCUAUCUAUUUUAUUACUGACGCUGACGUGCGAAAGCGUGGGUAGCGAACAGG